rnacentral:rRNA from 1 species
UACAGAGGGUGCAAGCGUUGUUCGGAAUUACUGGGCGUAAAGCGUGCGUAGUCGGUAUUGAGAGUCGCGGGUGAAAUCCCCAAGCUUAACUUGGGAACUGCCUGCGAGACCUCAGUACUAGAGUGUGAGAGGGGAUAGUGGAAUGCCAAGUGUAGCGGUGAAAUGCGUAGAGAUUUGGCGGAACACCGGUGGCGAAGGCGGCUAUCUGGCUCACAACUGACGAUCAGGCACGAAAGCGUGGGGAGCAAACAGG